CUUCACCACCUGUGCCUCGUUCACCCGAAUUACCCCUUGUAUUUAACCUCGUGUCUCAUUCCUUCUCGUUGCCAGUUCGUUGUACCUUGUCGUCGUUUUCCAGCAUUCCUUGUUUCCACGUCACAGACUCACAUUGUUCAGCAGUAUGGGCAAGCCAUGUGUGCAACUCAUCCAGUGUGUUUUGGAACUGCCCCAGACCCAGUAGAGCACACUCCAGUUGAUGCUGCAAAUAGAAAAGAAAGACUUGGACUGCAUGAUAAUGACUGGAAUACUGGAAAAUUCUCUGACUCCAGACUGUCCCAACGCAGUCGAAAGUCGCACAGCGGUGAAACUGAGCAUGGACGCUCUGAGCCUGGAGACAAUCGACACACAAAGCGAUGGUUUUGGCUUUCUAUUUCAAUCUUCUUCUGAUAAAGUUCUCUCUUGAAUUCCUGAGGAAAACAAAUGCAGAGUUAAUGAACUGGUGAUAUAUUGUACAUUAAUUUAAAAAUAGCAUAAUCAAAAUUAUUUUCUCAAACAGAACAUAUGGAGGAACUCAUAUAGUAGCCAUAGUGGUCAUCUCAGAAUGAAUCCUCACCUUGAGUUCAUGUAGCUGCUCUUCGACUGAUUCCAGAUCAGUUCCAACCAUGAACUCUUCAGUUGACCUCAGCUCUGCAGAUUUCAACCACUCAAAAAGUCCCUAAGAUACAAAAGGUUAGGCUGUCUAAAUUACGCAAUAAAAAAGAUGCAUGAAUUAUGAACAUACAAUGUUUAGAACUUGCUCCUUUAUUCAAUACAAAAGAUUCACAUUCCAAUACACACCUGCAUAGUGUCUUGAUAAUCUAAGGCCAUUUGCAAGGACUCCUCCAGCUUUGUGUGGCAUUCAUUCCACAGUUUACUCAAAUUGUUCCACAGGCAAUAAAGCUUAAAAAUAUCAAACA